rnacentral:misc_RNA from 1 species
GAUGAAGAACGUAGUGAAAUGCGAUAACUAAUGUGAAUUGCAGAAUUCAGUCAAUCAUCGAGUCUUUGAACGCACAUUGCGCCCCCUGGUAUUCCGGGGGGCAUGCCUGUCCGAGCGUCAUUGCUGCCCUCAAGCACGGCUUGUGUGUUGGGCUCCGUCCCCCCGGGGACGGGCCCGAAAGGCAGCGGCGGCACCGAGUCCGGUCCUCGAGCGUAUGGGGCUUUGUCACCCGCUCUGUAGGCCCGGCCGGCGCCAGCCGACAACCCAUCAUCCUUUUCAGGUUGACCUCGGAUCAGGUAGGGAUACCCGCUGAACUUAAGCAUAUCAAAGCGGAGGA